rnacentral:rRNA from 1 species
CCUACGGGAGACAGCAGUGAGGAAUAUUGGUCAAUGGACGAGAGUCUGAACCAGCCAAGUAGCGUGAAGGAUGACUGCCCUCUGGGUUGUAACCUUCUUUUAUAAAGGAAUAAAACGAGGCACGUGUGCCUUUUUGCAUGUACUUUAUGAUUAAGGAUCGGCUAACUCCGUGCCAGCAGCCGCGGUAAUACGGAGGGUCCGAGCGUUAUCCGGAUUUAUUGGGGUUAAAGGGAGCGUAGAUGGGUUGUUAAGUCAGUUGUGAAAGUUUGCGGCUUAACCGUAAAAUUGCAAUUGAAACUGGCAGUCUUGAGUAUAGGUGAGGUAGGCGGAAUUCGUGGUGUAGCGGUGAAAUGCGUAGAGAUCACGAAGAACCCUGAUUGCGAAGGCAGCUUACUAAACUGUGACUGACAUUGAUGCGCGAAAGUGUGGGUAGCAAACAGGAUUAGAUACCCGUGUAGUC